GAAUGGAUGAUGGAGGGUACAGGAGGCUAUUCCCAGUCUCCUUAAGUUGCUCCUCUAGCUCAAUCUCAUUGAUUGCCAUUUUUAACACUCUCAGCAACAAAAUCCAGGAACCCCCAGAAACAAGAAGGAGUUUCACUCUCUCAAUCUCUACUUUCGCAGAUUUUCACUCAACCCAAUCACAAACAUCCCCUUUUAUAGCCCUAAAAGCAAAGGGGUGACAACUCACCUGCCAAGCAAAGGGGUGUUUAGCUAAAAGUGCAGAGCAUGCAAAAAGAGAUUACCGAGGAGGCACUUAAGGAUUGGUUAAUUUAAGCCCAUGGGGAGGGCUUGAAUUCGGUGCUGCUUGGUUCUAGUGCCUUGGUGGGCAUUCUGUGUUUAUCGGUUCCUUCCUUUUAUGGUCCUUUAAAUUGGUAGUGGGUUCUUGCUUCCUCGUUCAUUGGCACUUUCUUCGCUGUUUUUUCCUUGAGAGAAAACUGCGGUCAAAACUCCACUGAAAGUACAUUACUCAUGUAUAGCAUCACUGCAUGUACAAAGUGG
rnacentral:misc_RNA from 1 species